AUUGAACGCUGGCGGCAGGCCUAACACAUGCAAGUCGAGCGGAUGAGAGGAGCUUGCUUCUCGAUUCAGCGGCGGACGGGUGAGUAAUGCCUAGGAAUCUGCCUGAUAGUGGGGGACAACGUCUCGAAAGGGACGCUAAUACCGCGUACGUCCUACGGGAGAAAGCAGGGGACCUUCGGGCCUUGCGCUAUCAGAUGAGCCUAGGUCGGAUUAGCUUGUUGGUGAGGUAAUGGCUCACCAAGGCGACGAUCCGUAACUGGUCUGAGAGGAUGAUCAGUCACACUGGAACUGAGACACGGUCCAGACUCCUACGGGAGGCAGCAGUGGGGAAUAUUGGACAAUGGGCGAAAGCCUGAUCCAACCAUGCCGCGUGUGUGAAGAAGGUCUUCGGAUUGUAAAGCACUUUAAGUUGGGAGGAAGGGCAGUCAGCGAAUACCUGGUUGUUUUGACGUUACCGACAGAAUAAGCACCGGCCAACUCUGUGCCAGCCGCCGCGGUAAAAC
rnacentral:rRNA from 1 species